GAUGAAGAACGUAGCGAAAUGCGAUAAGUAAUGUGAAUUGCAGAAUUCAGUGAAUCAUCGAAUCUUUGAACGCACAUUGCGCCCCUUGGUAUUCCGAGGGGCGUGCCUGUUCGAGCGUCAUUAUAACCCCUCAAGCUCAGCUUGGUGUUGGGGCCUGCUGCACUGGCAGCCCUUAAAAUCAGUGGCGGCGCCAUCUGGCUCUAAGCGUAGUAAUUCUUCUCGCUAUGGAGUCCUGGUGGAUGCUUGCCAUCAACCCCCAAUUUUUCUAUGGUUGACCUCGGAUCAGGUAGGGAUACCCGCUGAACUUAAGCAUAUCAAUAAGCGGAGGA
rnacentral:misc_RNA from 1 species